UACAGAGGUCCCAAGCGUUGUUCGGAUUCAUUGGGCGUAAAGGGUGCGUAGGCGGCGCGGUAAGUCGGGUGUGAAAUCUCGGGGCUUAACUCCAAACUGCAUUCGAUACUGCCGUGCUUGAGGACUGGAGAGGAGACUGGAAUUUACGGUGUAGCGGUGAAAUGCGUAGAUAUCGUAAGGAAGACCAGUGGCGAAGGCGGGUCUCUGGACAGUUCCUGACGCUGAGGCACGAAGGCCAGGGGAGCAAACGGG
rnacentral:rRNA from 1 species